rnacentral:misc_RNA from 1 species
UUAUAGUCAUUCGACCUUUGAUUUCAGACAGCUUCUUCUAAAGGGUUAUGGGUUUUGGUUGGGUGCCGCCGGCGGACUGACCGCCCCCGAAGGGGCGUGCCGCCGAGGCAAGGUGGGGUUUUCACAAAGGGUGUAACAGAACACGGUGGCGCGAGCCGCCCGCUUCUGAGAUUUUUAUUGUAAUGAUCCUUCCGCAGGUUCACCUACGGAAA